rnacentral:lncRNA from 1 species
AUAUUAGAAAGAGUUUCUAAUAUUUCAUUGUUUGAAUUAUCAUAUAAAAGAUUGAGAGAGACAUGAAUAAGUGAUUGAGUUUGAUAUUGAUCCAUACUCAUGCACUUAUUCAGGAUGUAGUAUGACUGAGGAAUUGAAUUGCACGGUAACUUGCCACUGAAGGGUAUGUUUGGAUUUGUCCAAUACAUUCCUCAUCUUCCGGGUAGACAUGAUACAUUGCUAGACGUCAAUCUUGUCUUGUGGGUUGAUCGGAUCAAAGAGUUUGAUUAGAUCAAAGCAUCAGAAAGGUUCUGAUUGCUAAGUCAGGUUUAGCACUAAAUUGAACCUAAAUUGGAUUAGAGGUAUUCUAAUCAGGUUAGGUCAACUUGCACCUGCACCUACUGCUGGCUAAGAUAAGGAACCCAAUAGGUCACACACAAGGAAAUUGAUCAAGGGUCUAAUUGGAUUAGAUCAUGUUUGCAAGAUGAACAUGCUAGCACGUGUUGCAAACCCUAGCUCCUGAUUCAAAUUAAAUUUGAAUCUGAUUCUUAGAUUAGGUUGAUCUAAUAUG